rnacentral:rRNA from 1 species
ACCGUGGACGGUGUGCUCUGUGAUAGCUUCCGUGAGGCUGCCGAGAGAUUGGGCCUCAUCGAGGCCGACAACACGCUUGACGAGUGUCUUACAGAGUCAACACAGUUCGCGAUGCCAGCCUCACUCAGGAGGCUCUUUGCAACAAUCUUGGUAUUCUGCGAGCCAGGUGACGUGCGCGGUCUAUGGGAUAGGCACCUAGAGGCGAUGUCUGAUGACUACCGCCGAUCACACACGUGCUCAAAGGCAGUGGAACAGAUGGUGUUGCUUGACAUUAGGGGCAUGCUACAGUCCAUGGGCAAAGACAUAGCGUUGUUCCUUCUUCCGGACAUCGACGAGACCUAUGACACUACUGGAGGCGAGGCCAGAGAAGUCACCGAGGAGUCAUCCAUCGAGGUUGACGCGAACGAUGCUGCUUUAGCGUCCUCACUAAACCCUGAGCAAAGGCUUGCAUACGACGAGAUACUGGCAGCAGUCGAUGCUGGUGAUGGGGGUGUAUUCUUUGUCGAUGGCCCAGGAGGCACCGGGAAGACCUUCCUAUACAAGGCACUACUCACAAAGGUUCGAGGCGAGGGCAAGAUCGCGGUGGCUACGGCGACGUCAGGCGUCGCGGCUUCCAUCAUGCCUGGAGGAAGGACAGCCCACUCGAGGUUCAAGAUCCCACUCAGCAUUGAAGAUGGGGGGUCGUGCAGCUUCACCAAGCAAAGUGGAACAGCCAAGCUCCUGCACAUGGCUUCACUCAUCCUAUGGGAUGAGGCCACCAUGACGAAGCGGCAAGCGGUUGAGGCACUGGACAAUAGCAUGCGGGACAUCAUGGGACGACGGGACCGACCAUUCGGGGGAAAGACUGUCGUGUUCGGUGGGGACUUUAGGCAGGUGCUUCCGGUCGUCAGGAAGGGGUCACGAGGUCAGAUAAUCGAUGCGACCUUGCGGAAUUACUUGCUAAGGGUAGGCAACGACACCGAGGAAACCGAUGAGGAAGGCAACAUAAGGCUCCCUGAAGAUAUUUGUGUGCAGCCAACAGAGGACGGCGUUGACCUAGAGAAGCUAAUCGACCAUGUAUUUCCUGCUCUAGACAACAACAUGGCUGAUCCAAAUUACAUGACAUCUCGAGCGAUCCUCUCCACCAAGAACGACAACGUUGAUAAGAUAAACACACGCAUGAUAGAGCGCUUCCAGGGCGAAGAGAAGAUCUACCACAGUUUUGAUAUUGCAGAGGAUGAUCCACACGGCUACUAUGCCCCAGAGUUCCUGAACAACCUGACUCCCAACGGGCUGCCUCCGCAUGCGCUCAAACUGAAGUUAAAUUGCCCCGUUAUACUGUUGAGAAACAUUGAUCCAGCUAAUGGGUUGUGUAACGGCACAAGGCUUGUGGUCCGGGGUUUCCAAAGGAACGCCAUCGAUGCAGAAAUCGUGCUAGGACAACAUGCUGGUAGGAGGGUGUUCCUUCCUCGGAUACCUCUCUGCCCAUCCGAUGACGAUAUAUUCCCUUUCAAGUUAAAGAGGAAGCAGUUCCCUAUUAGGCUCAGUUUUGCCAUGACAAUCAACAAGGCGCAAGGGCAGACCAUCCCGAUUGUCGGA